rnacentral:rRNA from 1 species
GGCGAGCGGGGCUACCAUGCAGCUGAGCGGUAACAGACAUUUUGAUUUUGCUUGCAAAUCUCGUGCUGACGAGCGGCGAACGGGUGAGUAACGCGUAGGAAUCUACCUAGUAGAAGGGGAUAGCCCGAGGAAACUCGGAUUAAUACCGUAUACGUCCUUAGGGAGAAAGAGGGCUUAGCUUUGAUGCUCUCGCUAUUAGAUGAGCCUGCGUAAGAUUAGCUUGUUGGUGAGGUAAAGGCUCACCAAGGCGACGAUCUUUAGCUGGUCUGAGAGGACGAUCAGCCACAUUGGGACUGAGACACGGCCCAGACUCCUACGGGAGGCAGCAGUGGGGAAUAUUGGACAAUGGGCGCAAGCCUGAUCCAGCCAUACCGCGUGUGUGAAGAAGGCCUUCGGGUUGUAAAGCACUUUAAGUAAGGAAGAAAAGAGUAUUGUUAAUACCAUUACUCCGUGACAUUACUUACAGAAUAAGGACCGGCUAAUUCCGUGCCAGCAGCCGCGGUAAUACGGAAGGUCCAAGCGUUAAUCGGAAUUACUGGGCGUAAAGCGCGCGUAGGUGGUUUAUUAAGUUGGGUGUGAAAGCCCCGGGCUCAACCUGGGAACUGCAUCCAAAACUGAUUCACUAGAGUACGAAAGAGGAAAGUAGAAUUCACAGUGUAGCGGUGGAAUGCGUAGAUAUUGUGAAGAAUACCGAUGGCGAAGGCAGCUUUCUGGUUCUGUACUGACACUGAGGUGCGAAAGCGUGUGUAGCGAACAGGAUUAGAUACCCUGGUAGUCCACGCCGUACACGAUGACAACUAGCUGUUGGGAAGCUAUGCUUUUCAGUGGCGCAGCUAACGUCUUAAGUUGUCG